CUCUGACCAUCCACCCCAGGUGCAUUGCUUUUCAUACUCUAGAGUCUAGGAUUAGGGGCUCACCCACAAAAAUAGCUUCCAUGGAAUGGUCAGCCUAGCAGGAGCUGGGGGUUCUCCAUCAAGUGAAGAUGGGGACUAUGAGAUCUUACGGCAUCUCAAAGGGCAGAAGUCUGGACAGGAAGACCAGUUGCAUAGUGGAGGGAAGUAUCCUAACCUGGAUUAAAUAUAUGCUGAAUUCCUCUGUUUAUCCUAAAAGCUAAAUCCCUGAUAUAAACUUGCUUUUUCAUGUUUUUAUGAUUUAGCUUUAUUUUAGGGAUUUAACUUUAUUUUAACCAUGGGUUACUGAGAAUUUUUGUUAAAGUUUAAUGGCAUUGUGUACUCCUAUUCACUCUUCAGAAUCUCAGUUCAAUAUCACUUCCUCCAUGAAGCCUUCCUGAUUACUUUUUCCUUUCUUCCCUCAGGCCCUCCCAGUUAUUUCCCUCUCUAAGGAGCAUACUAUGUUUAAAUAAUUUGUUAACAUGAGCUACAGGGGGCAGGUGGUUGAGGGAGGGCUUUCUCUGUGAGUCUGCUUAUUAAGAAGCUGAGCUCCCAGUCCUUGCCUUGUGAUAAUAAUCAAGCCCCAUUACUUGAGAGCUCGCAGAGGGCAGAAAACAAGGGCUGCUUCACUGUUACAUGCACAGGCCAUGGCCUGAAACAAGGAAGGGAAGGAGGGAGAAAACAACGGGAGGACAAAUUCUAUAAACAGGUCAGAGGAGAGGGAGAGACAUUAUUUAUCAGCUUGGUGAUUUCAACUUAAUUCUGAGAAGACUUAAUCCAUGUCUGUUUCCCUCUGGUCUGUAAAACAAAAUGCCUCCUACAAUGUUUCUGAGUUGUUUCACAACUCAGGAAGACGAUAUUUCUCUUUGCCAUAAGACAAUACAUUUCCUAAACGUACUGUAGUGGGUAAGGGUAGGGUGGGAGUUUAAAAAAGAAAAUCAGUCAGCAGCUAUGAAGAGCCAAAAGGACACAGUGUCAGAUCUGUGGAAAUUGAACCUAAGGAUAGAUCUGAGACCAACAAGAGUUAAAUGGUCAACUCCACUCAACAUUUGCUGAGUCUCUAUUCUGUGGGCCCUAAUAGAAAGUCACCAAAACAGUUCUUGAGGGGUCAGGACCUAUUGCUGAGAGUGGCAAGUCAGGAGUAAAGCAAAAAGAGGGCAGGACUGGCCUCAUGUCCAGUUGCACAGCCCUGGUUGUGCCAUGUCUCUGGGCUGGGAGACAGCUGCCUGGCCACUGGCCCUUGGGCCAUUAAAAACACAGGGCCACAGAAGGAGCAGGCAGGGCUCAUAUCUGGGGGAUUAGCUCCAUCUGCCCUGAGUGCAGUGGAAACCGUGCAUCCUUCCUCUUCCCUGGGCCUCAUCCUGGUGCCUGCCCCCAGCAGUCCCUGGCAGCCUCAUGUCCACCUGGCCAUGAUGUCAGGUCUAUUUAAGCCAGGGACCUGGUGAUCCUUUCCACAGCCCACUGGGAAGGCCUAUGUGUUGCUGAAAAACAAAUAAACCAACAGCUCUCUGUCACCAUGGGUUCUACAGACCUGGGGAUACACGGCAAAGGCCUGUCGUGGAGGUUGUAACUCUUUGUCCUUUAGGAUUCCCAAGGUAGACCACGUGUGUGCCAGCCCAGCAGGCAAACUGCCCCGUAUGAGUUUGUCCAUCAACUGUGCGUGCAGAUCUUUACUCGCAUGCAUGACACAGGAAGCCCACGGGACACUUCCCCAGCACGCCCCGCUUCCUCUGCACUCCUGGAAGGAAGACCUGUUCUUGCUUCUUCCGUACUCUCAGGAUCUGGCACAGAACCCGACAAAGGAAAUAUUUAAUGAACUAUGGCGUAGGCCUGGCCCUGAACGACACCCUGGGGACCCAGCAGCAGCAAGGUGCAGCUUCUGCCCUCAGCAACCUCACGGUCUAAUGGACGCGGCACAGUGGGCAGGAAGUGACACCAAAGAGCAUCAGGAUUAGGAAGUCUGUUCGGAUUAGCAUGGAAUCAGAGUCUCCCUGCCCUGGGAAUCAUUGCUGGCCAUGGCAGUUGCUGAGACUGGGAGCUAAAAGGUGCAUCUGAGUUGGAGUCUUGUCAUGUUCCUUCAGACUCUCUGGAGCAGCCCAGCUUCCCAGAACUGAGAUCACUAAACCAAGAAGAGGAGGCACCUUGGACCUGGGUAAAGGCUCCUUUCCAAGCUACUGCACAAAGAGGCCCAGGAGAAAUCAAAAGAUCAUGGACUGUUUUUGCUAUUGCAUGUGUUCCACCUUCAGUAUGGACUGUUGCCCUCCUUGCAGAUGUCGAGAUGGAACCUCACCAGGGCUUCCUUCUGAAAUGAAACUUCCAGAAAGCAGCAGACAGACCACAGAACAUCCUUCCUAGAAAAAGAAAAGCCGUCUGUAGACCAGCAACAGCUCUGAUCACAUGACUGCAAGCAAGGUUUCCAAAGAAAUCAAAAUGAUAGCUUGAAGAAUGAGCAUUGACAAUUUCUUUGUAGAAAGAUUCAAAUUCACAAUGUGAUCAAUUAAAAGGAAUCCUAGCUUACAUUUUUUUCUCAAAAAAUAUUCACAAAUACUGUCUUAUUUGAUUCUCAUGUUAACCUGUGGAUAUAGGCGGUGAAUAUGAGCCGUGAAGACAUUAUUCUCCAAUUUAUAAUUGAGAGAAGGGAGGGAGGGCAUCAGUGACUUGCAUCUCAGGGUACAUGAGAGUGAGUGAUUGAGACAGACUCAGGUCUUUUGGUUACUCCUAGUACAGUGCUCUCUCCACCUCAUCCUGCCUUUACAAACUGGAGGCAGGUUAAGUAGCAAUUCAUUUAUUUUUCUUUCAGAAAGAAACAUAGCUUUAAAAGAAUGAGGAUCAAAAGUUGUAUAAAUAGAUGAGGCUGGUGCAGUGGCUCAUACCUGUAAUCCCAGCAUUUUGGGAGGCUGAGGCAGGUGGAUCACCUGAGAUCAGGAGUUCGAGACCAGCCUGGCCAACAUGGCCAAACCCUAUCUCUAUUAAAAAUACAAAAAAAUUAGCUGGAUAUAAUGGCAGACACCUGUAAUCCCAGCUACUCGGUAGGCUGAGGCAGAGAGAAUUACUUGAACCCAGGAAGUGGAGGUUGCAGUGAGCUGAGAUGGCGCCACUGCACUCCAGCCUGGGCAACAGAGCAAGAUUCUGUCUCAAAGAAAAAAAAAUUGUAUAAAUAAAUGUAAAAAAUUCAAGUAUUUUCAUUCUAUUUUAUAAUACAGUCAAGGUGUUUUUUCUUUUUUUUUAAAGGUAGAAAAACUGAGGGGCAGAGGUAAGUAGAGACAAAGGAACAGAAAAAGACAUGCUGUAGUGCCAUACAGGCCCAAGGCUCACAGGGAGUAACAGCCCCAUAGUGUGGCUUUUUUAGGAUACAAAAGUGUGGUCAUGUUUUUACAACUGUACGCAGAAAUAUGGGCAGUACUUCUGUGACCUGGUGACACUGAGGAUAAAAUUUGAGCCAGGAGCCAGAGGUCCCGUAGUACUGGCCUGAAACCAGGGAGAUAAUUCUUUGUGAUGCUAUAAUGUUUUAACUUCUAGAAUGAGCCUAUUGCCCUGGCUUUAGUUCUUUCUUUAUAAUAAGGUGCAAUAAUGACUAUGGAGAGCAUAGAACAUGAAGAGCAAGGGAAAGCCUGCAGAAGGAAACCGGUCACAGCCCUCUAACGGGUGCUCAGCCUCCCUGCCCAUCAGAAUCGCCAGGGAAGCUUUAAACAUGCAAUUCCCAAGCCCACCCCAAACAAUGGAGUCAGAAUCCUGGGAGUGGGACCCAGGCAUCAGUACUUAACGCUCCUGGGGUGCGUCUAGGAUGCAGUCAAGGUUAAGUACCUUCUUUAAGAGAUUUGUCCAAAAAGGCUGACUGAGGAAAGGAAGAAGCACUGAAAUGGGAAAAUUCGGACGUGAGAUUGAGGGUAGCCAAACAAAACCUUCCCCUGGAAAACAGAUUGAGGACAAAAGAUGCAGGGACUCACGAGGACAGAACGCUGGGCACGCAGUGGUUGAAGAUGGUCUCUCUUUGACUGACUUUCCAUGGGUGAAGAUAAAGGAGAGAAUUGAGGGACUUCCCUGGAAAGUUUAGUGUAAGAACAUCUUCUGCCUUUUUGUAUUUAAUUAAUCUUUCUUCUAAAUAAAACAUUUUG
rnacentral:lncRNA from 1 species